rnacentral:rRNA from 1 species
CAGCAUGUCGCGUGAGUGAGAAGGCCUUUGGGUUGUAAAGCUCUUUUAUGGGGGAAGAUGAUGACGGUACCCCAAGAAUAAGCACCGGCUAACUAUGUGCCAGCAGCCGCGGUAA